rfam:Triticum aestivum genome assembly, contig: Triticum_aestivum_CS42_TGACv1_scaffold_513745_6BS
UGCAUACUCCCUCCAUUCGAGAAAGCUUGUCCCUCAAAUGUAUGUAUCUAGCACCAAGUUAGUGCUAGAUACAUUCAUUUGAAGGACAAGCUUGGGACAAGCUUUUUCGGGCGGAGGGAGUAUAUC